AGAGUUUGAUUCUGGCUCAGGAUGAACGCUAGCGACAGGCUAACACAUGCAAGUCGAGGGACAUCACGGGAGUAGCAAUACAACUGGUGGCGACCGGCGCACGGGUGAGUAACGCGUAUGCAACCUACCUAUCAGAGGGGAAUAACCCGGCGAAAGUCGGACUAAUACCGCAUAAAACAGGGGCACCGCAUGGUGAUAUUUGUUAAAGAAAUUCGCUGAUAGAUGGGCAUGCGUUCCAUUAGGUAGUUGGUGAGGUAACGGCUCACCAAGCCGACGAUGGAUAGGGGAACUGAGAGGUUGGUCCCCCACACUGGUACUGAGACACGGACCAGACUCCUACGGGAGGCAGCAGUGAGGAAUAUUGGUCAAUGGGCGGGAGCCUGAACCAGCCAAGUCGCGUGAAAGGAAGAAGGAUCUAUGGUUCGUAAACUUCUUUUGCAGGGGAAUAAAGUGCAGGACGUGUCCUGUUUUGUAUGUACCCUGAGAAUAAGGAUCGGCUAACUCCGUGCCAGCCGCAGC
rnacentral:rRNA from 1 species